UACGAAGGGUGCAAGCGUUACUCGGAAUUACUGGGCGUAAAGCGUGCGUAGGCGGUUUGUUAAGUCCGUUGUGAAAGCCCUGGGCUCAACCUGGGAAUUGCAGUGGAUACUGGCAAGCUAGAGUACGGUAGAGGAUGGUGGAAUUCCCGGUGUAGCGGUGAAAUGCGUAGAUAUCAAGCGGAACACCGGUGGCGAAGGCGGCCUUCUGGACAGUGACUGACGCUGAGACGCGAAAGCGUGGGGAGCAAACAGG
rnacentral:rRNA from 1 species